rnacentral:rRNA from 1 species
CCCUUAGAUGUUCUGGGCCGCACGCGCGCUACAAUGAUGAAUUCAACGAGUUUAUAACCUUGGUUGAAAAGCCUGGGUAAUCUUUUGAACUUUCGUCGUGAUGGGGCUAGACCCUUGCAAUUAUUGGUCUCCAACGAGGAAUUCCUAGUAAACGCAAGUCAUCAGCUUGCACUGAUUACGUCCCUGCCCUUUGUACACACCGCCCGUCGCACCUACCGAUUGAAUGGUCCGGUGAAAUCUUCGGAUUGAGACUUUGAUUUCUUCACGGAAAACGCUGUUUUAAGAAGUUGAUUAAACCUUACCAUUUAGAGGAAGGUGAAGUCGUAACA